GGAAGGGCCCUGCUUGCAGGGUACUUGAGUGGCGAACGGGUGAGUAACACGUGGGUGAUCUGCCCUGCACUUCGGGAUAAGCCUGGGAAACUGGGUCUAAUACCGGAUAGGAGCCAUUUUUAGUGUGAUGGUUGGAAAGUUUUUUCGGUGUAGGAUGAGCUCGCGGCCUAUCAACUUGUUGGUGGGGUAAUGGCCUACCAAGGCGGCGACGGGUAGCCGGCCUGAGAGGGUGGACGGCCACAUUGGGACUGAGAUACGGCCCAGACUCCUACGGGAGGCAGCAGUGGGGAAUAUUGCACAAUGGGCGCAAGCCUGAUGCAGCGACGCCGCGUGGGGGAUGACGGCCUUCGGGUUGUAAACUCCUUUCGCUAGGGACGAAGCUUUUUGUGACGGUACCUAGAUAAGAAGCACCGGCUAACUACGUGCCAGCAGCCGCGGUAAUACGUAGGGUGCGAGCGUUGUCCGGAAUUACUGGGCGUAAAGGGCUCGUAGGUGGUUUGUCGCGUCGUCUGUGAAAUUCCGGGGCCUAACUCCGGGCGUGCAGGCGAUACGGGCAUAACUUGAGUACUGUAGGGGUAACUGGAAUUCCUGGUGUAGCGGUGAAAUGCGCAGAUAUCAGGAGGAACACCGAUGGCGAAGGCAGGUUACUGGGCAGUUACUGACGCUGAGGAGCGAAAGCAUGGGUAGCGAACAGGAUUAG
rnacentral:rRNA from 1 species